rnacentral:rRNA from 1 species
GGAUCCAGACUUCGAUCCUGGCUCAGGAUGAACGCUAGCUACAGGCUUAACACAUGCAAGUCGAGGGGAAACGACAUCGAAAGCUUGCUUUUGAUGGGCGUCGACCGGCGCACGGGUGAGUAACGCGUAUCCAACCUGCCCAUCACUUGGGGAUAACCUUGCGAAAGUAAGACUAAUACCCAAUGAUAUCUCAAGAAGACAUCUGAAUGAGAUUAAAGAUUUAUCGGUGAUGGAUGGGGAUGCGUCUGAUUAGCUUGUUGGCGGGGUAACGGCCCACCAAGGCUACGAUCAGUAGGGGUUCUGAGAGGAAGGUCCCCCACAUUGGAACUGAGACACGGUCCAAACUCCUACGGGAGGCAGCAGUGAGGAAUAUUGGUCAAUGGGCGAGAGCCUGAACCAGCCAAGUAGCGUGCAGGAUGACGGCCCUAUGGGUUGUAAACUGCUUUUAUAAGGGAAUAAAGUGAGCCUCGUGAGGCUUUUUGCAUGUACCUUAUGAAUAAGGACCGGCUAAUUCCGUGCCAGCAGCCGCGGUAAUACGGAAGGUCCGGGCGUUAUCCGGAUUUAUUGGGUUUAAAGGGAGCGUAGGCCGGAGAUUAAGCGUGUUGUGAAAUGUAGAUGCUCAACAUCUGCACUGCAGCGCGAACUGGUUUCCUUGAGUACGCACAAAGUGGGCGGAAUUCGUGGUGUAGCGGUGAAAUGCUUAGAUAUCACGAAGAACUCCGAUUGCGAAGGCAGCUCACUGGAGCGCAACUGACGCUGAAGCUCGAAAGUGCGGGUAUCGAACAGGAUUAGAUACCCUGGUAGUCCGCACGGUAAACGAUGGAUGCCCGCUGUUGGUCUGAAUAGGUCAGCGGCCAAGCGAAAGCAUUAAGCAUCCCACCUGGGGAGUACGCCGGCAACGGUGCAACUCAAAGGAAUUGACGG